rnacentral:rRNA from 1 species
AAUUGGAGGGCAAGUCUGGUGCCAGCAGCCGCGGUAAUUCCAGCUCCAAUAGCGUAUAUUAAAGUUGUUGCAGUUAAAAAGCUCGUAGUUGAAUUUCGGGAUCAAUAUUUCGGUCAUGCCGUUGGUAUGCACUGUUAUCAUUGAUUUCUCACCUUCUAAAGAACCGUAAUGCCAUUAAUUUGGUGUUACGGGGAAUUAGGACUGUUACCUUGAAAAAAUUAGAGUGUUUAAAGCAGGCUCACGCUUGAAUACAUUAGCAUGGAAUAAUGAAAUAGGACAUCCGAUUCUAUUUUGUUGGUUUCCAGGAUCGAUGUAAUGAUUAAUAGGGAUAGUUGGGGGCAUUAGUAUUCAAUUGUCAGAGGUGAAAUUCUUGGAUUUAUUGAAGACUAACUACUGCGAAAGCAUUUGCCAAGGAUGUUUUCAUUAAUCAAGAACGAAAGUUAGGGGAUCGAAGACGAUCAGAUACCGUCGUAGUCUUAACCAUAAACUAUGCCGACUAGGGAUCGGAUGAUGUUAAUUUUUUAAUGACUCAUUCGGCGCCUUACGGGAAACCAAAGUGU